GGAGGAAAGUAGGGGAUCGAAAGACCUUGCGCUUUUGGAGCGGCCGAUGUCUGAUUAGCUAGUUGGUGAGGUAAAUGCUUACCAAGGCAACGAUCAGUAGUUGGUCUGAGAGGAUGACCAACCACACUGGGACUGAGACACGGCCCAGACUCCUACGGGAGGCAGCAGUGGGGAAUUUUGGACAAUGGGGGAAACCCUGAUCCAGCAAUGCCGCGUGAGUGAAGAAGGCCUUCGGGUUGUAAAGCUCUUUCAGUUGAGAAGAAAAGAUUGUGACUAAUAAUCAUAAUUAAUGACGGUAUCAACAGAAGAAGCACCGGCUAACUACGUGCCAGCAGCCGCGGUAAUACGUAGGGUGCGAGCGUUAAUCGGAAUUACUGGGCGUAAAGGGUGCGCAGGCGGUUAUGUAAGUCAGAUGUGAAAUCCCCGGGCUUAACCUGGGAAUUGCGUUUGAAACUACAAAGCUAG
rnacentral:rRNA from 1 species